rnacentral:rRNA from 1 species
UACGGAGGAUCCAAGCGUUAUCCGGAUUUAUUGGGUUUAAAGGGUGCGUAGGUGGUUUUUAAGUCAGGGGUGAAAGACGGCAGCUUAACUGUCGCAGUGCCUUUGAUACUGAAGAACUUGAAUUAACUAGAGGUAGGCGGAAUGUGACAAGUAGCGGUGAAAUGCAUAGAUAUGUCACAGAACACCAAUUGCGAAGGCAGCUUACUAUGGUUAUAUUGACACUGAGGCACGAAAGCGUGGGGAUCAAACAGG